UACGUAGGGGGGCAAGCGUUGUCCGGAAUCAUUGGGCGUAAAGAGCGUGUAGGCGGUUCGGUAAGUCGGCUGUGAAAGUCCAGGGCUCAACCCUGGGAUGCCGGUCGAUACUGCCGGACUAGAGUUCGGAAGAGGCGAGUGGAAUUCCCGGUGUAGCGGUGAAAUGCGCAGAUAUCGGGAGGAACACCUAUGGCGAAGGCAGCUCGCUGGGACGUUACUGACGCUGAGACGCGAAAGCGUGGGGAGCAAACAGG
rnacentral:rRNA from 1 species